rnacentral:rRNA from 1 species
CGCGUAGGCGGCGCGGCGUGUCGGAUGUGAAAUCCCCGGGCUCAACCCGGGAAGUGCGUCCGAGACUGCCGCGCUCGAGUCCGGAAGGGGGAAUCGGAAUGCAGGGUGUAGCGGUGAAAUGCGUUGAUAUCCUGCAGAACACCGGAGGCGAAGGCGGAUUCCUUGUACGGCACUGACGCUGAGGCGCGAAAGUGGGGGAGCAAACA